GAGAAUCACCAUAGAGCGCAUCAGAGCGUUGUGUUGAGCUGGUGUGUGUUUCUGUGGCGUAUAUCAUAUACCCGACGAAGACUCUAGCGCGCGUCUGAAUUAAGCCUUUAAUCGGUCGUAUGCAAUUAUUAUGGUUUGCUUAUGUAAAUUGUAUAGUUAAAA